rnacentral:rRNA from 1 species
AAGCAUUGUUUCUUAAUCUGAGUAUAUCAAUAUUACCUUGUUCAGAACUUAAAGAGAAAUCUUGAGUUUAUGGACUUCAGGGGGAGUCUGGUCACAAGGCUGAAACUUAAAGGAAUUGACGGAAGGGCACACCAGGAGUGGAGCCUGCGGCUUAAUUUGACUCAACACGGGAAAACUUACCAAGACCGAACAGUAGAAGGAAUGACAGAUUAAGAGUUCGUUCAUGAUUUAUUGGGUAGUGGUGCAUGGCCGUUCUUAGUUGGUGGAGUGAUUUGUCAGGUUAAUUCCGGUAACGAACGAGACUGAAACCUAUUAAUUAGUUUUCUGCCUAUAAGACAGAAAUGUUCGCAAGAACAGGUGCGUAAGUACCACUUCUUAAAGGGACACAUUUCAAUUGUCCUAUUUUAAUUGUAGUUAU